GAUAAUUAGUAGGAAAACAAACCCGGAGACAUCUUAUCUUGAAAUUGAAGAAUCAUUUGACCAGAAGAAGGGAAAAACGUCCGGUGAAAUUGUGGAGGUUCCAUUUGAUGCAUCCAAGCAAAAGAAAUCUCUCAAUUCAUCAAAUGGAUUAAAUUUGGUUCGCCCUGUGCCCAAGAAGGGUGUUAAGUUCGAGGUUGAUGAAAAACCACCAAAAACUGAGGGUUAUAAACAAAGCCAACCAAUUUCAAGACCUGAAGUAAGUAGAAAAAGUAGUGUUCCAAAUGUCAUAUUGCGAAAACCAAGUUUGUAUUCUGAGGAGGAUGAAUCAUCAAAAUUCAAAAUUAAGCCAAACUUGACACUGAAAAUGGGCAAAGAACUGAAACCUGAGAAGUUUAGUGAUGUUACAUUGUUGAAGAAGCCGGAACCAAUGAGGAUCAGCUCCGACGAUAGUGAAAAGAAUGGACAAUCAAGUGAUAAGCCUAGUGAUGCUACAUUGUUGAAGAAGCUGGAACCAAUGAGGAUCAGCUCCGACAAUAGUGAAAAGAAUGGACAAUCAAGUGAUAAGUCUAGUGAUGCUACAUUGUUGAAGAAGCCGGAGCCAAUGAGAAUCAACUCUGGCAAUAGUGAAAAGAAUGGACAAUCAAGCGAUGUCUUGCCUGUAUCUAGUGAUGACUCCGUAGAUGCUAGUCUUACAGAGGUGUAUGCAUCAACUAGUGAACCCAAAAACAGCUUGUUUCUAAAUAAGCCAGAGCCUAGUAAUUUAAAUCUAAAGAUAGAUCCAAAUCAAGAAUCUUCCGAGGCUCAGCAUCCUAGUAUUUCGGAUGAAAGUACUUUGAAUGCUGCUAACUCUUCUUCUGAGCUUAUAAGUAUGGCAGAGAAUAAACUCCGCCAACCGUUACAAUCUAGCAGAAGCAAUCCUCUUGAGAAGCAAGGCUUUGGUACAGGUAACAGGAUUCUGUUCUUGACAGAUAGUCAUCUGAGUGGUAAUUUAGCAUCUUAAUCAGCGUACUUGGUUGUUUUUCAAGGAUUCCAGCAGACUGAUACACAGCCUGCUGAGAGAAGUUCUGAUUCCAAUACACCUUCUAAGACUGGAC
rnacentral:lncRNA from 1 species